rnacentral:rRNA from 1 species
GGCGAACGCUGGCGGCGUGCUUAACACAUGCAAGUCGAACGGAAAGGCCUCUUUCGGGGGGUACUCGAGUGGCGAACGGGUGAGUAACACGUGAGUAACCUGCCCUUGACUUUGGGAUAACUUCAGGAAACUGGGGCUAAUACCGGAUAGGAGCUCCUGCUGCAUGGUGGGGGUUGGAAAGUUUCGGCGGUUGGGGAUGGACUCGCGGCUUAUCAGCUUGUUGGUGGGGUAGUGGCUUACCAAGGCUUUGACGGGUAGCCGGCCUGAGAGGGUGACCGGCCACAUUGGGACUGAGAUACGGCCCAGACUCCUACGGGAGGCAGCAGUGGGGAAGAUUGCACAAUGGGUGGAAGCCUGAUGCAGCAACGCCGUGUGCGGGAUGACGGCCUUCGGGUUGUAAACCGCUUUCGCUCAUGACGAAGCUUUGUGUGACGGUAGUGGGUAAAGAAGCACCGGCUAACUACGUG